rnacentral:rRNA from 1 species
UACAGAGGUGCCAAGCGUUAGGCGGAAUCACUGGGCUUAAAGCGCGCGUAGGCGGAUGUUUAAGUGUCUUGUGAAAUCCCACGGCUCAACCGUGGAACUGCUGGGCAUACUGGACAUCUCGAGGCACUCAGGGGCGAGCGGAACAAGUGGUGGAGCGGUGAAAUGCGUAGAUAUCGCUUGGAACGCCGGAGGUGAAAACAGGCUGCUGGGGUUGCGCCGACGCUGAGACACGAAAGCCAGGGGAGCAAACGGG